rnacentral:rRNA from 1 species
GGUAUACGGGGGAUGCAAGCGUUAUCCGGAAUCAUUGGGCGUAAAGCGCCUGUAGGUUGUUUAGUAAGUCUGUUGUUAAAGACCAGGGCUUAACCCUGGGAAAGCAAUGGAAACUACUAGACUUGAGUAUGGCAGGGGUAGAGGGAAUUUCUAGUGUAGCGGUGAAAUGCGUAGAUAUUAGAAAGAACACCGGCGGCGAAAGCGCUCUACUGGACCAUUACUGACACUCAGAGGCGAAAGCUAGGGGAGCAAAAGGGAUUAGAUACCCCUGUAGUCCUAGCCGUAAACGAUGGAUACUAGAUGUUGCGCAAUUUGUGCAGUAUCUUAGCUAACGCGUUAAGUAUCCCGCCUGGGGAGUACGCUCGCAAGGGUGAAACUCAAAGGAAUUGACGGGGGCCCGCACAAGCGGUGGAGCAUGUGGUUUAAUUCGAUGCAACGCGAAGAACCUUACCAGGGCUUGACAUACUACAAAUCUUUUCGAAACGAAAGAGUGCCUUCGGGAAUGUAGAUACAGGUGGUGCAUGGCUGUCGUCAGCUCGUGUCGUGAGAUGUUGGGUUAAGUCCCGCAACGAGCGCAACCCUCAUUUUUAGUUGCCAAUUUAUUGGGAUUUCUAGAGAGACUGCCGGUGACAAACCGGAGGAAGGUGAGGAUGACGUCAAGUCAGCAUGCCCCUUAUGCCCUGGGCCACACACGUGCUACAAUGGCGAAGACAAAGAGUCGCAAACCUGCGAAGGCUAGCUAAUCUCGUAA